UACGUAGGGGGCGAGCGUUGUCCGGAUUUACUGGGCGUAAAGGGCGAGUAGGCGGUUUGUUAAGUCAGGUGUGAAAUUCCAGGGCUCAACUCUGGAACUGCGCUUGAAACUGGCAGGCUAGAGGACAGGAGAGGGAAGCGGAAUUCCCGGUGUAGCGGUGAAAUGCGUAGAUAUCGGGAGGAAUACCAGUGGCGAAGGCGGCUUCCUGGACUGAACCUGACGCUGAGGAGCGAAAGCUGGGGGAGCAAACAGGAUUAGAUACC
rnacentral:rRNA from 1 species